UCAGAAGCAGGAUGGAUGGACAGAAUCUGGUACAGAAGUGGCUGGCAAAACACCAGGUGACAGAGAUACCAGGGUAUGGGGCUAGCAAGCAUUAAGACAGGGCUAUACAUCUCAAAGGUAUGUGUUAAGGCUGGCUUUGUCCCUGUAGGGGCCCAAUAUGUUUGGAACCAUAAGGAGCUCAUUCAGGCAUCACAGGACGCAGCAGUGACUCACCUCAUGGGCCUCUUUGAACCUAACGACAUGAAAUAUGACAUUCACCAAGACCCUGCUCAAGACCCUUCCCUGGCCGAGAUGAUGGAGGGGGCCUCAUCGACCACAGCCACCAUGAUUCCAUAGCCUAUCGUGCCCUGACUGAGGCUGUCAUGUUCGACUCGGCCGUUGACAAGGCAGACAAGCUCACCAGUGAGCAGGAUACCAUGAUCCUUGUCACCGCCGACCACUCACAUCUUUUCUUUUGGUGGCUAUGUGCCUCAAGGGAACUCUAUCUUUGGACUGGUGGCCCCUUCAAUGCUCUGGAUGGCAGAUCUUUUACCUCAAUCCUAUAUGGCAAUGGUCCCGGCUAUAAACUUCAGAAAGGUGACCCCAAGUACCGGCAGCAGACGGCUGUACCCCUGUCAUCAGUAACCCACAGCGGGGAGGACGUGGCAAUAUUCGCUCGUGGCCCACAGGCGCACCUGGUACACGGAGUUCAGGAGUAGAACUACAUCGCGCACGUCAUGGCCUUCGCAGCCUGCUUGGAGCCCUACACUGACUGCGGCCU
rnacentral:lncRNA from 1 species